rnacentral:rRNA from 1 species
GACGUAGGGCGCGAGCGUUGUCCGGAUUUAUUGGGCGUAAAGAGCUCGUAGGCGGCUUGUCGCGUCGACUGUGAAAUCCCGCGGCUCAACCGCGGGUCUGCAGUCGAUACGGGCAGGCUAGAGUUCGGUAGGGGAGACUGGAAUUCCUGGUGUAGCGGUGAAAUGCGCAGAUAUCAGGAGGAACACCGAUGGCGAAGGCAGGUCUCUGGGCCGAUACUGACGCUGAGGAGCGAAAGCGUGGGAAGCGAACAGG